rnacentral:rRNA from 1 species
AACGAACGCUGGCGGCAGGCCUAACACAUGCAAGUCGAGCGCGCAGCAAUGCGAGCGGCGGACGGGUUAGUAACGCGUGGGAACGUACCCUUUUCUACGGAAUAGCCUCGGGAAACUGAGAGUAAUACCGUAUACGCCCUUAGGGGGAAAGAUUUAUCGGAGAAGGAUCGGCCCGCGUCUGAUUAGGUAGUUGGUGGGGUAAUGGCCCACCAAGCCUACGAUCAGUAGCUGGUUUGAGAGGAUGAUCAGCAACACUGGGACUGAGACACGGCCCAGACUCCUACGGGAGGCAGCAGUGGGGAAUCUUAGACAAUGGGGGCAACCCUGAUCUAGCCAUGCCGCGUGAGUGAUGAAGGCCUUAGGGUCGUAAAGCUCUUUCGCCGGGGAAGAUAAUGACGGUACCCGGUAAAGAAACCCCGGCUAACUCCGUG